GUGGGGAAUAUUGGACAAUGGGCGAAAGCCUGAUCCAGCCAUGCCGCGUGUGUGAAGAAGGUCUUCGGAUUGUAAAGCACUUUAAGUUGGGAGGAAGGGCAGUAAGUUAAUACCUUGCUGUUUUGACGUUACCGACAGAAUAAGCACCGGCUAACUUCGUGCCAGCAGCCGCGGUAAUACGAAGGGUGCAAGCGUUAAUCGGAAUUACUGGGCGUAAAGCGCGCGUAGGUGGUUUUGUAAGUUGGAGGUGAAAUCCCCGGGCUCAACCUGGGAACUGCCUACAAAACUGCAUGACUAGAGUACGGUAGAGGGUAGUGGAAUUUCCUGGGUAGCGGUGAAAUGCGUAGAUAUAGGAAGGAACACCAGUGGCGAAGGCGACUACCUGGACUGAUACUGACACUGAGGUGCGAAAGCGUGGGGAGCAAACAGGAUUAGAUACCCCUGUAGUCC
rnacentral:rRNA from 1 species